rnacentral:lncRNA from 1 species
UGGGGACAAUGACAUGUGAGCUUUCGUUGGAGGUUAAUUAAUGUCACUGCUCCCCUCAUUUUGGAUACCAAGUUAGCCCCAUCCUUAGAUGCAUCUUCUUUCAACUCACUACACGCAAACAAGAAAAUAAAACAUACGCAAGGAACACUGGGCAAAAGGUACAAUACUAUUUCAACUUCCCUUCAUUCAGUAAGGCUUUAGGGGGCCUCUCACUUCACACAUGAAGGAUCUUUAAAACUUUCAACACAAAAAUUCAUCCAUUUCAGCUUUAUAUCUCUCACAAGAACCAUUAUCACUACAGAAAUAUUGUUCAUAGAUACUGCAUAUAUUUGGACGCCACACGUAAUCAAGGUUCAAAAAUCACGUCAAAAACUUCGAUUUUAAGUGGAAACAAGAGUAUAUAUAGCUUUUCGUGGAUACCGCCAAUGGGAUGAGUCAAAACAAACAUCAUAACGUAUUUAUUAUAAAGAAUUGAUUUUGAAUUUCAAAAGUAGUUCUAGAUAUCGUAGAACUCGUUGUUUUUAAGUACAACUACUACCAUAUGCAGGAAACUGCAACUUGAAUGCCUGUGAUUUAUUCUCGUACGAUAAAGAGUUGAAACUCAGCAUUGACCAAGAACGUGAGCAAGCACAUUUUCAUUGCAUGCUUAAAUGAAGAGAGCAAUUAUUAAUAUGGGGGUAGAGAAAAACGUGUUUCUUGCCUUGCAUUACUCUUUACUUUUAUUCUUUACCUUGGACUAGAAUGUCCUUGACUAUAGGAAAGAGUAAGUAGAAAAUUAUCGCUACCUAUAAGUUAAUGUGUGUCUUAUGGACACCAUUUCAUCUUUUUUACUCACAUAACAUAUAUAUACUUUCUUUUGCAUCGAUGAUAUGAGAUAUCAUCCUUUGCAUAUGGCAACACGCACAUGUAUCACAGGUAUGUUCUACCUAGUUGCAUAUGGCUCUUUGGGUAAGCAGUCCAAGGAGAAUUUCACAGUGUAGUAAAUUCUUCGGAAAAUUCAUUGUUACAAACAUAUGCAGACAAACUAGUAGCAUUUGGAUUAUAUUACAAAGUAAUCCUCUUUUUUAUUUACCUGGCAUAAAAGCUUUGAAGAAUUAAAUCAGCAGAAAAGAGAAAACUCUAUUCAAAUUAUGUUGUGAAUAGUGUUUGUUUCAAUACAUAUACCACUGUAUGAUUCAUCUCAAGCUGACUUUAUCAACACACGAAAAUCCAGAUAUCCAUCAUACCCUGAGCUUAGUUAUAAAGAACAUUUGGAAGCAGAAUAAAGAAUUCUUGGAAAAUCUAAUAUUUAAUCAGUUUGGAUACAAAGUUAAAAGUAUUUCUAAAGAAGUUCCAAAAAACACUUUUAACUUGCACCAAAUCGUGUUUAGGAAAGGCCAGACAUUGUUUAUUUCCACAGAAAACUUCAACCCUUACUGUCCAUUAAAAGAAGACCCAUGAAGUCCUCCAUCAUCAUCAUCAUCACGAGUAAUGGGAAGUGUGCCUCCUGCUGCUUAACUACUAGAAAUUCCUGUAAUUGUGUUAAAAAAACUCUCUGAUCAGAAACAGUUUCUAAAGUAAUAGACACCAAAACAGGAAUCCGAUCUCUCUAUCCAGAAAGAUGGUAUGCAUUAAACUCAAAACCUAACUCCCGGAGUUAAUUUUACCCCAAAUUCAAGGAGACAAAACAGAGAGACAAGUAAAAAUAACCUUUCAUAAAAGAAGUGAUGGAACGUGCGUGAUAAUUAAUUUUGUUUCUUAACUAACACCUGCGUGAUAGUAACCUUAACCUACCACCAAUAUCCCCCACCCGAACACAGAACAGGAAAAAUAAUAAUUGCAAAGGAAGAGGUAACGAAUUAAGUUAUUUCAGAGUCCCGCAUCGAGAAGGUGAGAGACGUGAAAAUUGUAUGGGUGUGUAUAAAUAGAAGUGGACAGGGCACGUGGCCAAACACGAUCUCAGGUACAUAUGUGGCCGUACAUAAUGGGGGCAAAAGUAUUUUGAUGGUAUGUGGUACAAGACGGUACGUACAGGUGCCCUAAGCUAAGCAGUGUAGCUUUAUGGAAGAACCAAAAUAAUAAUUAAGAAGAUGGAACUCACCAUUUUGAAUGAGAAUCAGUGGAAUAUGAGGUGAACAAGGUCGGCGCAGAGAAAGAAGAGCAGUAGCAGAAAGAGGAAAAAAAUAGCAAAUCGUAAGAGGAAUAAGAAGAGAAGGAGUGUUAUGAUUAUGGAAAUAGGAGAGUCUGUCCAAACCACCAACAUAGUUGCAUAUAUUUGAUUACAGAUCAUGCUAUUGAUUUUGUUGAAUUCAAUUGCAGAGUUGCAGGGAUGUCAAACCUACUGUACUGGUGGUUGGAAGUUGGAGCAAACUCUGCAAGUUGAAGCAAAU